AACGAACGCUGGCGGCAGGCCUAACACAUGCAAGUCGAACGCCCGUAGCAAUACGGGAGUGGCAGACGGGUGAGUAACGCGUGGGAACGUGCCCUUCGGUUCGGAAUAACUCAGGGAAACUUGAGCUAAUACCGGAUACGUCCGUAAGGAGAAAGAUUUACCGCCGAAGGAUCGGCCCGCGUCGGAUUAGCUAGUUGGUGAGGUAAUGGCUCACCAAGGCGACGAUCCGUAGCUGGUCNGAGAGGAUGAUCAGCCACACUGGGACUGAGACACGGCCCAGACUCCUACGGGAGGCAGCAGUGGGGAAUAUUGGACAAUGGGCGAAAGCCUGAUCCAGCCAUGCCGCGUGAGUGAAGAAGGCCUUAGGGUUGUAAAGCUCUUUCAGCGGGGAAGAUAAUGACGGUACCCGCAGAAGAAGCCCCGGCUAACUUCGUGCCAGCAGCCGCCGUAAU
rnacentral:rRNA from 1 species